rnacentral:rRNA from 1 species
AAUGCUGGUACCUUAAGCGCAGAGGCAACACGCUAACCCAUCCCGAACUUGGCGGUGAAACUCUGCUGCAGUGACAAUACUGCAGGAGAAGUCCUGUGGGAAGAUAGCUCGGCGCCAGCUUA